CUCAAACCGGCUGUGCCUGUGG
rnacentral:miRNA from 1 species